GACGAACGCUGGCGGCGUGCUUAACACAUGCAAGUCGAACGGAAAGGCACUGCUUUUGUGGGGUGAUCGAGUGGCGAACGGGUGAGUAACACGUGAGUAACCUGCCCUUGACUUUGGGAUAACUUCAGGAAACUGGGGCUAAUACCGGAUAGGAGCUCCUGCUGCAUGGUGGGGGUUGGAAAGUUUCGGCGGUUGGGGAUGGACUCGCGGCUUAUCAGCUUGUUGGUGGGGUAGUGGCUUACCAAGGCUUUGACGGGUAGCCGGCCUGAGAGGGUGACCGGCCACAUUGGGACUGAGAUACGGCCCAGACUCCUACGGGAGGCAGCAGUGGGGAAUAUUGCACAAUGGGCGGAAGCCUGAUGCAGCAACGCCGCGUGCGGGAUGACGGCCUUCGGGUUGUAAACCGCUUUCGCCUGUGACGAAGCGUGAGUGACGGUAAUGGGUAAAGAAGCACCGGCUAACUACGUG
rnacentral:rRNA from 1 species